rnacentral:rRNA from 1 species
AAUAGAUACCCUGGUAGUCUACGCCGUAAACGAUGAGUGCUAAGUGUUAGAGGGUUUCCGCCCUUUAGUGCUGCAGCUAACGCAUUAAGCACUCCGCCUGGGGAGUACGGUCGCAAGACUGAAACUCAAAGGAAUUGACGGGGGCCCGCACAAGCGGUGGAGCAUGUGGUUUAAUUCGAAGCAACGCGAAGAACCUUACCAGGUCUUGACAUCCCACUGACCGGUAUAGAGAUAUACCUUUCCCUUCGGGGACAGUGGUGACAGGUGGUGCAUGGUUGUCGUCAGCUCGUGUCGUGAGAUGUUGGGUUAAGUCCCGCAACGAGCGCAACCCUUGAUCUUAGUUGCCAGCAUUUAGUUGGGCACUCUAAGGUGACUGCCGGUGACAAACCGGAGGAAGGUGGGAAUGACGUCAAAUCAUCAUGCCCCUUAUGACCUGGGCUACACACGUGCUACAAUGGAUGGUACAAAGGGCUGCAAGACUGCGAAGUCAAGCCAAUCCCAUAAAACCAUUCUCAGUUCGGAUUGCAGG